CGCGCAGGUGGUUUCCUAAGUCUGAUGUGAAAGCCCACGGCUCAACCGUGGAGGGUCAUUGGAAACUGGGAGACUUGAGUGCAGAAGAGGAUAGUGGAAUUCCAAGUGUAGCGGUGAAAUGCGUAGAGAUUUGGAGGAACACCAGUGGCGAAGGCGACUGUCUGGUCUGUAACUGACACUGAGGCGCGAAAGCGUGGGAGCAAACA
rnacentral:rRNA from 1 species